UACGGGGGGAGCAAGCGUUGUUCGGAUUUACUGGGCGUAAAGGGCGCGUAGGCGGCCAGUGCAAGUCAGUUGUGAAAUCUCCGAGCUUAACUCGGAAAGGUCAACUGAUACUGCUCGGCUAGAGUGCGGAAGGGGCAACUGGAAUUCUUGGUGUAGCGGUGAAAUGCGUAGAUAUCAAAGAGGAACACCUGCGGCGAAGGCGGGUUGCUGGGCCGACACUGACGCUGAUGCGCGAAAGCUAGGGGAGCGAACGGG
rnacentral:rRNA from 1 species